GGUUAAGCGACUAAGCGUACACGGUGGAUGCCCUGGCAGUCAGAGGCGAUGAAGGACGUGCUAAUCUGCGAUAAGCGUCGGUAAGGUGAUAUGAACCGUUAUAACCGGCGAUUUCCGAAUGGGGAAACCCAGUGUGUUUCGACACACUAUCAUUAACUGAAUCCAUAGGUUAAUGAGGCGAACCGGGGGAACUGAAACAUCUAAGUACCCCGAGGAAAAGAAAUCAACCGAGAUUCCCCCAGUAGCGGCGAGCGAACGGGGAGCAGCCCAGAGCCUGAAUCAGUGUGUGUGUUAGUGGAAGCGUCUGGAAAGGCGCGCGAUACAGGGUGACAGCCCCGUACACAAAAAUGCACAUGCUGUGAGCUCGAUGAGUAGGGCGGGACACGUGGUAUCCUGUCUGAAUAUGGGGGGACCAUCCUCCAAGGCUAAAUACUCCUGACUGACCGAUAGUGAACCAGUACCGUGAGGGAAAGGCGAAAAGAACCCCGGCGAGGGGAGUGAAAAAGAACCUGAAACCGUGUACGUACAAGCAGUGGGAGCACGCUUAGGCGUGUGACUGCGUACCUUUUGUAUAAUGGGUCAGCGACUUAUAUUCUGUAGCAAGGUUAACCGAAUAGGGGAGCCGAAGGGAAACCGAGUCUUAACUGGGCGUUAAGUUGCAGGGUAUAGACCCGAAACCCGGUGAUCUAGCCAUGGGCAGGUUGAAGGUUGGGUAACACUAACUGGAGGACCGAACCGACUAAUGUUGAAAAAUUAGCGGAUGACUUGUGGCUGGGGGUGAAAGGCCAAUCAAACCGGGAGAUAGCUGGUUCUCCCCGAAAGCUAUUUAGGUAGCGCCUCGUGAAUUCAUCUCCGGGGGUAGAGCACUGUUUCGGCAAGGGGGUCAUCCCGACUUACCAACCCGAUGCAAACUGCGAAUACCGGAGAAUGUUAUCACGGGAGACACACGGCGGGUGCUAACGUCCGUCGUGAAGAGGGAAACAACCCAGACCGCCAGCUAAGGUCCCAAAGUCAUGGUUAAGUGGGAAACGAUGUGGGAAGGCCCAGACAGCCAGGAUGUUGGCUUAGAAGCAGCCAUCAUUUAAAGAAAGCGUAAUAGCUCACUGGUCGAGUCGGCCUGCGCGGAAGAUGUAACGGGGCUAAACCAUGCACCGAAGCUGCGGCAGCGACGCUUAUGCGUUGUUGGGUAGGGGAGCGUUCUGUAAGCCUGUGAAGGUGUGCUGUGAGGCAUGCUGGAGGUAUCAGAAGUGCGAAUGCUGACAUAAGUAACGAUAAAGCGGGUGAAAAGCCCGCUCGCCGGAAGACCAAGGGUUCCUGUCCAACGUUAAUCGGGGCAGGGUGAGUCGACCCCUAAGGCGAGGCCGAAAGGCGUAGUCGAUGGGAAACAGGUUAAUAUUCCUGUACUUGGUGUUACUGCGAAGGGGGGACGGAGAAGGCUAUGUUGGCCGGGCGACGGUUGUCCCGGUUUAAGCGUGUAGGCUGGUUUUCCAGGCAAAUCCGGAAAAUCAAGGCUGAGGCGUGAUGACGAGGCACUACGGUGCUGAAGCAACAAAUGCCCUGCUUCCAGGAAAAGCCUCUAAGCAUCAGGUAACAUCAAAUCGUACCCCAAACCGACACAGGUGGUCAGGUAGAGAAUACCAAGGCGCUUGAGAGAACUCGGGUGAAGGAACUAGGCAAAAUGGUGCCGUAACUUCGGGAGAAGGCACGCUGAUAUGUAGGUGAAGUCCCUCGCGGAUGGAGCUGAAAUCAGUCGAAGAUACCAGCUGGCUGCAACUGUUUAUUAAAAACACAGCACUGUGCAAACACGAAAGUGGACGUAUACGGUGUGACGCCUGCCCGGUGCCGGAAGGUUAAUUGAUGGGGUCAGCGCAAGCGAAGCUCUUGAUCGAAGCCCCGGUAAACGGCGGCCGUAACUAUAACGGUCCUAAGGUAGCGAAAUUCCUUGUCGGGUAAGUUCCGACCUGCACGAAUGGCGUAAUGAUGGCCAGGCUGUCUCCACCCGAGACUCAGUGAAAUUGAACUCGCUGUGAAGAUGCAGUGUACCCGCGGCAAGACGGAAAGACCCCGUGAACCUUUACUAUAGCUUGACACUGAACAUUGAGCCUUGAUGUGUAGGAUAGGUGGGAGGCUUAGAAGUGUGGACGCCAGUCUGCAUGGAGCCGACCUUGAAAUACCACCCUUUAAUGUUUGAUGUUCUAACGUUGACCCGUGAUCCGGGUUGCGGACAGUGUCUGGUGGGUAGUUUGACUGGGGCGGUCUCCUCCUAAAGAGUAACGGAGGAGCACGAAGGUUGGCUAAUCCUGGUCGGACAUCAGGAGGUUAGUGCAAUGGCAUAAGCCAGCUUGACUGCGAGCGUGACGGCGCGAGCAGGUGCGAAAGCAGGUCAUAGUGAUCCGGUGGUUCUGAAUGGAAGGGCCAUCGCUCAACGGAUAAAAGGUACUCCGGGGAUAACAGGCUGAUACCGCCCAAGAGUUCAUAUCGACGGCGGUGUUUGGCACCUCGAUGUCGGCUCAUCACAUCCUGGGGCUGAAGUAGGUCCCAAGGGUAUGGCUGUUCGCCAUUUAAAGUGGUACGCGAGCUGGGUUUAGAACGUCGUGAGACAGUUCGGUCCCUAUCUGCCGUGGGCGCUGGAGAACUGAGGGGGGCUGCUCCUAGUACGAGAGGACCGGAGUGGACGCAUCACUGGUGUUCGGGUUGUCAUGCCAAUGGCACUGCCCGGUAGCUAAAUGCGGAAGAGAUAAGUGCUGAAAGCAUCUAAGCACGAAACUUGCCCCGAGAUGAGUUCUCCCUGACCCUUUAAGGGUCCUGAAGGAACGUUGAAGACGACGACGUUGAUAGGCCGGGUGUGUAAGCGCAGCGAUGCGUUGAGCUAACCGGUACUAAUGAACCGUGAGGCUUAACCUU
rnacentral:rRNA from 1 species